rnacentral:rRNA from 1 species
CGGGAAAUAUUUCAUUGAGACUUCGGUGGAUUUGAUCUAUUUCUAGUGGCGGACGGGUGAGUAACGCGUGGGUAACCUGCCUUAUACAGGGGGAUAACAGUCAGAAAUGGCUGCUAAUACCGCAUAAGCGCACAGAGCUGCAUGGCUCAGUGUGAAAAACUCCGGUGGUAUAAGAUGGACCCGCGUUGGAUUAGCUAGUUGGUGGGGUAACGGCCCACCAAGGCGACGAUCCAUAGCCGGCCUGAGAGGGUGAACGGCCACAUUGGGACUGAGACACGGCCCAGACUCCUACGGGAGGCAGCAGUGGGGAAUAUUGCACAAUGGGGGAAACCCUGAUGCAGCGACGCCGCGUGAAGGAAGAAGUAUCUCGGUAUGUAAACUUCUAUCAGCAGGGAAGAUAGUGACGGUACCUGACUAAGAAGCCCCGGCUAACUACGUGCCAGCAGCCGCGGUAAUACGUAGGGGGCAAGCGUUAUCCGGAUUUACUGGGUGUAAAGGGAGCGUAGACGGUGUGGCAAGUCUGAUGUGAAAGGCAUGGGCUCAACCUGUGGACUGCAUUGGAAACUGUCAUACUUGAGUGCCGGAGGGGUAAGCGGAAUUCCUAGUGUAGCGGUGAAAUGCGUAGAUAUUAGGAGGAACACC